rnacentral:tRNA from 1 species
GGUUGUAGCUCAGGGGUAGAGCGCUUCCCUCGCGUGUGUGAGGCACUGGGUUCGAUCCUCAGCACCA